rnacentral:lncRNA from 1 species
GGUGACUAUGGUCACUAAAAGAAAGACACAGAAAAAAGCACUCCCUAGUUUCCUUCUAAGAGAGUAGCUGACAGUUUCAGCUCCAGGAGGGACACUGUGCUCCUAAUACAGCUGACACAUGGGCUAAAGUACCAGGGAUCUGUCUGCUUCUGUCUCCCCACUGCUGAGAUUAAAGAUGUGUGACACUGCUGCCUGACCUUUAUGGUUAACUAAUGUGGCUAGCUCUGUGCUCUGAUCCUCAGUUCCCUCCCCCCUCCCCACUAUGGCCUUCAUCCAGCAGCUGGUGGAAGUAGAAGCAGACACCCACAGCUAAACCUUGAACUGAACUGAAAUCCAGAUGCAGAGGAGGAGGACUGAUGAACAAAGGGGUCCAUACCAGGCUGGUGAAACCCACAGAAACAGCUGACCUGAACAAGGGAAAACUCUUGGUCCCCAGACUGAUAGCCUGGAAAUCAGCAUGGGACUGAUCCAGACCCCCUGAAUGUGGGUGUCAGUGAGGAGACCUUGGAAAUCUAUGGGGCCUCUUGUAGUGGAUCAGUACUUAUUGCUACCAUAGGAAUGGACUUUAGGAGCCCAUCCCACAUGGAGGGAUACUCCCUGAGCCUAGACACAAGGGGAUUGGCCUAGGCCCUAUCCCAAAGAAUAUGACAGACUUUGAAGACACCCUCUGGAAGGUCUCACCCUUCCUGGGGAGCAGAAAGGGUAUGGGAUGGGUAGGGUGUUAAUUGG